rnacentral:rRNA from 1 species
UACAGAGGGUGCGAGCGUUGUCCGGAAUCACUGGGCGUAAAGGGCGCGUAGGCGGCCCCGUGCGCGCGCCGUGAAAGCCCGGGGCUCAACCCCGGGUCGGCGGGGCGGACGGCGGGGCUGGAGCAUACCAGAGGCGGGCGGAAUUCCGGGUGUAGCGGUGGAAUGCGUAGAGAUCCGGAAGAACACCAGUGGCGAAGGCGGCCCGCUGGACAGAUAUUGACGCUGAGGUGCGAAAGCGUGGGGAGCAAACAGG